rnacentral:tRNA from 1 species
UCCCUGGUGGUCCAGUGGUUAGGAACUGGAGCUUUCAGUGCUUGAGGGACCAGGUUCAAUUCUUGGUUGGGGAA